rnacentral:rRNA from 1 species
UACGUAGGUGGCAAGCGUUGUCCGGAUUUAUUGGGUUUAAAGGGUGCGUAGGCGGCCCUGUAAGUCAGUGGUGAAAUACUCCAGCUUAACUGGAGGGGUGCCAUUGAUACUGCAGGGCUUGAGUGGAGUCGAAGUAGGCGGAAUUGACGGUGUAGCGGUGAAAUGCUUAGAUAUCGUCAAGAACACCUAUAGCGAAGGCAGCUUACUAGGCUGUAACUGACGCUGAGGCACGAAAGUGUGGGGAUCAAACAGG